rnacentral:rRNA from 1 species
CCUACGGGAGGCAGCAGUGAGGAAUAUUGGUCAAUGGACGAGAGUCUGAACCAGCCAAGUCGCGUGAAGGAUGCCUGCCCUAUGGGUUGUACACUUCUUUUAUAUGGGAAUAAAAUUUUCCACUUGUGUGAUUUUUUUUGUACCAUAUUAAUAAGGCUCGUCUAACUCCGUUCCAGCAGCCGCGGUAAUACGGAGGAUCCGAGCGUUAUCCGGAUUUAUUGGGGUUAAAGGGAGCGUAGGUGGAUUGUUAAGUCAGUUGUGAAAGUUUGCGGCUCAACCGUAAAAUUGCAGUUGAAACUGGCAGUCGUGAGUACAGUAGAGGUGGGCGGAAGUCGUGGUGUAGCGGUGAAAUGCGUAGAUAGCACGAAGAACUCCGAUUGCGAAGGCAGCUCACUGGACUGCAACUGACACUGAGGCUCGAAAGUGUGGGUAUCAAACAGGAGUAGAUACCCUAGUAGUC